rnacentral:rRNA from 1 species
AUAAACUAUGCCUGCCAGCGAUCCGCCGAAGUUCCUCCGAUGACUCGGCGGGCAGCUUCCGGGAAACCAGAGCUUUUGGGUUCCGGGGGAAGUAUGGUUGCAAAGCUGAAACUUAAAGGAAUUGACGGAAGGGCACCACCAGGAGUGGAGCCUGCGGCUUAAUUUGACUCAACACGGGAAAACUCACCAGGCCCGGACACCGGAAGGAUUGACAGAUUGAGAGCUCUUUCUUGAUUCGGUGGGUGGUGGUGCAUGGCCGUUCUUAGUUGGUGGAGCGAUUUGUCUGGUUAAUUCCGAUAACGAACGAGACUCUAGCCUACUAACUAGGCGUACCCGGUAUCCACAAUCGUGCUACCGGCGAUCAAAUUUCUUCUUAGAGGGACAGGCGGCUUCUAGCCGCACGAGACUGAGCAAUAACAGGUCUGUGAUGCCCUUAGAUGUCCUGGGCCGCACGCGCGCUACACUGAAGGAAUCAGCGUGUCUUCCCUGUCCGAAAGGACCGGGUAACCCGCUGAACCUCCUUUGUGCUAGGGAUUGGGGCUUGCAAUUGUUCCCCAUGAACGAGGAAUUCCCAGUAAGCGCGAGUCAUAAGCUCGCGUUGAUUACGUCCCUGCCCUUUGUACACACCGCCCGUCGCUACUACCGAUUGAAUGAUUUAGUGAGGUCUUCGGACUGGUACGCGGGGCCGCUUCCGCGGUCCCCGAUGUUGCCGGAAAGAUGACCAAACUUGAUCAUUUAGAGGAAGUAAAAGUCGUAACAAGGUUU